rnacentral:rRNA from 1 species
AGUGAACGCUGGCGGUAGGCCUAACACAUGCAAGUCGAACGGCAGCACAGUAAGAGCUUGCUCUUACGGGUGGCGAGUGGCGGACGGGAGAGGAAUACAUCGGAAUCUACUUUUUCGUGGGGGAUAACGUAGGGAAGCUUACGCUAAUACCGCAUACGACCUACGGGUGAAAGCAGGGGAUCUUCGGACCUUGCGCGAUUGAAUGAGCCGAUGUCGGAUUAGCUAGUUGGCGGGGUAAAGGCCCACCAAGGCGACGAUCCGUAGCUGGUCUGAGAGGAUGAUCAGCCACACUGGAGCUGAGACACGGUCCAGACUCCUACGGGAGGCAGCAGUGGGGAAUAUUGGACAAUGGGCGCAAGCCUGCUCCAGCCAUACCGCGUGGGUGAAGAAGGCCUUCGGGUUGUAAAGCCCUUUUGUUGGGAAAGAAAAGCAGCAGGUUAAUACCCCGCUGUUCUGACGGUACCCAAAGAAUAAGCACCGGCUAACUUCGUG